UUUUUUCCUCCACCAACACAAAGGCACCCAGAACCCUGACCAUCACCUGUUGAACAGAAGACACUGAAAUCGGGUCAAUGUAGCCCACACCUGGGGACACAUCUAUGAAGAGGAGGAGAGUGGCUCUGUGAUAGCCCAGCCAUCAUGGAACCUUAGAAGAGAACCUGACAGAAAAGAAAUGAGUCAAGGUGAACUUUGUCCUCCAGGAUGCCUUCUGUCAUAGGCAGCCUCAAAACUCACCUGAAAAGAAAAUAGAGGAACCAAUUUACAAGAAGAGAGGCAACAGGAAAUACUAAGCUUGUUUGAGGAGAUGGGGGGUAACUCCAAAAGACUACAAGUCCCAUGAUGCAUCAUCUCUUUGAAUCAUUGUCAGAGUUGUAAACUUACCAACAGUGUCGCAAGGUUCAUCUUUGUGAACGCAGAAAUCUGUCCUAAAAAAGAAAAAAGAAAAGAUACAGUCUGAUGUAUGUGGUACUCUGCAAGAAUUGGAGAAGAAAUCACAUACUAAUAUUGGUUGGUGAUCCUAGAGAUAGCCAAGGUUGCACUUUGUGCUGCAGUGGGACUUGGUAAUGUGUAAGAGUCACCCAGGUGGUACUGGUUUUGAAGGCAUGAAGGGGUCACAAAGAACAGCUGAGGCUCGGCACUGUGAGAGACCAUGGAAGGCCAUUGGUGAAGGUGCAGCCUCAGUUGAAGUUGAUGGCCCAGGACUGAAGGGUUCAUGCAUUGUUUUGGAGAUGCCAGUACCAUGAGAUGACCACCAAGAACAGCAACAGCAGUGGAGUACAGGCAGCUGGAGCCUAGAAGACAAGCUGUGUGCUACAAAGGGCAUAGCUGAAGAAGCGACCCAAGCCCUUGGAGGAGCCCAGAAGAUCGUGAGUUGGAUCCCAGACAUUGGAUGGUUGGAGAUUGAUUUUUGCUUUUGAUUGUGACUGUGCCCUGAUAUUUUCCCUCUUGAAGGAAGAAAAUAUUUUAGUGGAUCCCACAGUUAAGAGACAUUUAAUUGUAAAAAGACUUUGGAUUUUAAAAGAUAUUGGACAUUUUAAAGGGAUUGCCUUUUGAUAUGUAAAGACUGUAGGACUUUUAAAGUUGUUUAGUUGUUGUUGCUUUAAUUUAGACAAAUGACAAUGUCUGUCUGUCAAAAGUAAACCAUCUAUGGCAGUUCUAAAUGGUUAAGGACAGUCACUACAUAGAAGAACCCAUAUUAAAAAUGUUUUUGCAUUUAUUUGUGAAGUGUGCAUGCAUGUGCCAUAGCACACAGGCAGAGAUCCGAGGAAGUCAGUUUUCUUCUGGAGGCGAGGUGUGGGGAGAGAACUCAGGCCAUCCGGCUUGGAGGUAAGUACCUUCAUGCACUGAGUCACCUCACUGCCUCAGGACUCCCUCUUACAGCUGAAG